CUCGGGCGCCGCGCUCCUCUCCCGCCCUUCGCCCUCCCGCUCUCCUGCCUCUCGGCCUUUUUUCCGGGUUAAUUACGUUUCGCAUUAAAGCAAAACCCAGCCCCGGAUCUUUCUGUUCGUGGAGGUUUUUUGCCACUCAUUAAGUUUCAGGCAGCAGAGCCAGUUGAAGAGUGUCUUCCCCGGACCCGAACUGCCCGGAUUGGAGCCCUGGCUCUGCCACUGCGGAGCUUUGAUCUCUGAGCGCAGACUGUCAUUUCGCAGUGCCUCCUCUUUAGGGAGAGUCAGUGACUUACACAUUUGUAAACUGCUGUCUGAAGGCGAAGGAAAUGCUGCGUAAAUGUGUUUAAUAAUAAAAAUUGGACUGUCACUUCUUAGUGUGAAAAGGGACACUGCCCCAUCCAGCUCCAGGGGAAUCCAACUGGAACGGAUGGCUCCCAGCAUGAGCAAUGAGGUAACAGUGUCGGAUUUCAUGGUAUGGUUCACAUUAAAACCCAUAAAACUCUACUCCCCGUGGGGCCUGCCUGAAUCACUCCAUUGCAGAGCAGCAAAUAUUCUCCGAGCACUACCCUACUGGAUACCUCGGAGGCCGCAAAGGUAGGCCGAGGGCCUUGGGUCUCGUUGGGAGAAUACAGGUAUCACUGGAAGAAGGUUGAGGCAGCCUUCUCCCUUCCGGGAAGGAAGCGCAGUGGCAAUGGCCCAGCGAGUUAAGUGCUGUCGUCAGCUUUUAGAAGAGCAAGACGAUUGUCUCUGUGUGGGACAAGGACUUGGCCCCAGUUAGUCGAAAAUUUCUGCACGGAUUCCCACUCCCUUAGCCCUGGAUUUCCCAGUGCUUCCUCAGAGGACCCCCACCCAACCCCCUCCUCCAGUGAGUACCAUGGAGCUCAUUUGCCAUCUCUUUUUUUGUGUACUUUUUUUUAUUGUGACAAUACUCAUAAAUGUCACCAUUUUAAAUAUCUUAAAGUGUAUAUGCAGUGGCAUUUAGUAGAUUCAUAAUGCGCAACUAUUACCACUGUCUAGUUCCAAACCAUCUUCAUCACACGGAAAGGGGACCCCAGACCUAUUAAGCAGUCACACCCCAUUCCUCUCUUCUCCCCACCCCUGUAACCGCUAACUCGCUUUUCAUCUAAUUUAUGGAUUUGCCUACUUUCGAUAUUUCAUGUUAGUAGAACCACACCAUAUGUUGCUUUUUGUGUCUAGUUUUUACACUUUGUCAUCUCUUUGAUGUAUUUUGUUUUUUUCAUUUCGUUAUUUUUUUUUUGUCUUCCUUGGAAUGCAGCAACACGGACACAUUUUGAAAGUACAGUAAUUCAUUGCCUGACUUUAUGCACUAAUUUUUUUCAGUCCCCCACUGCUAAAUUUGGCUUUAAAAUUAAAAAUAAAUAAAUAAAAUAAAAGAUAAAUUUUUUCAGUGCAAUAAACAGCACUGACGUCUGAAAACGUGACUCUAUUUGAGGGGAAAGGAAUGUCCAAAAGAGGCCCCUUCACACCAGCUGUUUCAGUCCCUUCAUUAUACCAAGGUAAAACAAGGUUCAACAAUUUGCUCAAGGUUUCCCAGCUAGUUAGUGGCAGAGUUGGUUCUAGAAUCCAGGGUUCACUACCCUUAGAAUCUUCUAGUAUUGGUAUAGAAACCUUUCCAUAAAAAUGGGGACUUCUGGCUCAGAACCUAAGAAUCUAAACAGAAAGCCAUAUAUUCUAGCCAUGUAUUUAUUAUGUACUUUCUAUUCAUUUUCAGUGUUAGUGGCUGGGUAACUAGAUGACCUCAUAACCCCCAGUGGUGAGCCAGUGUACCCUUUGGGGAACUUAUUGUUCUCUGUCCUCAUAGAUACCCAUUAUAUAAGGCUACAGCUGGGGCCAGUUAGUUCCAUCAGGGAAAGUGUGAGACAGAGGAGGCCAAGGUCGUUGGUUUGAUCCUGGUUCAGGCCAGUUCAUUUUGCUUAGAGAAAGAUUGCUCUAAGACCACACACUGCACCCUAAUGUUAGCUGGUCAUGUUAUAAAUAGUUGCUAUUUGUUUCAGUAGCAAAGUAUGAAUGGGUAGGCACCAUCCAUUUCUACAAAGAUUUCUCAAACUACCAUUGUUCUGUGCAGUCCUGUUCAUUCAAUAAACGAUUAUCUCAACCUUUUACCAUUUUUCCCUCCCAAAUAUCUUGCAGUUACUUAUUCUCAAGGUACUUACCAAAUGCUAACUGCCUUACAUGUAUUAUCUCAUUUAAGGCUUCCCAGGACACUAGGAGUGAGACACUAUUAUCUACCCCAUCUAAUGGUGAUGAGGUAGCUAAGCCCUACAAACCUGGGUACAAACCUAGACAGCCUGAGGCCCACUUUAUCUGGAAUUCCCAGAGCUACCCUGGUAGAUGCAAUGUUAGGCCUUGGGAAGGAUAUAGCAAGCCUCUUUCCCUUCCCCAUUUCCAGUAUUUAUCAUCAUUUAGAAUCUCCAUUCCAUUUCACUUAGCCAUUCCAUGUCCACGGAUAUGUCCUACAGAAAGUUACCUGGAUAGGCCGGGCGUGGUGGCUCACGCCUGUAAUCCUAGCACUCUGGGAGACCGAGGCAGGCAGAUUGC